UUUCUUUUAUUUAUUUAUUUAAUUUUUUUUUUUCGUUAUUUUUUUUUCGUUUUUUCGUUUUGUUUUUUUUUGUUUUUUUUUUGUUUUUGCAUAACAUGUGGGCUUCAGCUAGCGAGCAUGACAGCUCAUGAACAAACCUUUGCUCCUUCAAGAUUAACGUUUUGACUGACGAAUAGACCCCUGUUGGAAGUAACUCAAGUCUUUCCCUUGUGUUGACUGAUCAUCUAAAU
rnacentral:lncRNA from 1 species